rnacentral:rRNA from 1 species
ACACAUGCAGUCGAACGAUGAAGCCUCGCUUGCGGGGUGGAUUAGUGGCGAACGGGUGAGUAACACGUGAGCAACCUGCCCUGGACUCUGGGAUAAGCGCUGGAAACGGUGUCUAAUACUGGAUAUGAGCUCUCAUCGCAUGGUGGGGGUUGGAAAGAUUUUUCGGUCUGGGAUGGGCUCGCGGCCUAUCACCUUGUUGGUGAGGUAAUGGCUUACCAAGGCGUCGACGGGUAGCCGGCCUGAGAGGGUGACCGGCCACACUGGGACUGAGACACGGCCCAGACUCCUACGGGAGGCAGCAGUGGGGAAUAUUGCACAAUGGGCGGAAGCCUGAUGCAGCAACGCCGCGUGAGGGAUGACGGCCUUCGGGUUGUAAACCUCUUUUAGCAAGGAAGAAGCGAAAGUGACGGUACUUGCAGAAAAAGCGCCGGCUAACUACGUGCCAGCAGCCGCGGUAAUACGUAGGGCGCAAGCGUUAUCCGGAAUUAUUGGGCGUAAAGAGCUCGUAGGCGGUUUGUCGCGUCUGCUGUGAAAACCCGAGGCUCAACCUCGGGCCUGCAGUGGGUACGGGCAGACUAGAGUGCGGUAGGGGAGAUUGGAAUU